UACGUAGGGUGCAAGCGUUAAUCGGAAUUACUGGGCGUAAAGCGUGUGCAGGCGGCUUUGUAAGACAGAUGUGGAAUCCCCGGGCUUAACCUGGGAACUGCAUUUGUGACUGCAUGGCUGGAGUGCGGCAGAGGGGGAUGGAAUUCCGCGUGUAGCAGUGAAAUGCGUAGAUAUGCGGAGGAACACCGAUGGCGAAGGCAAUCCCCUGGGCCUGCACUGACGCUCAUGCACGAAAGCGUGGGGAGCAAACAGG
rnacentral:rRNA from 1 species